GGUUGUGGCUCAGCGGUAGAGCACUUGCCUAGCAUGUGCAAGGCCCUGGGAUGGAUCCUCAGAACCA
rnacentral:tRNA from 1 species